rnacentral:rRNA from 1 species
AGUAUCAUUAAGUGAAUACAUAGCUUAAUGAGGGGAACUCAGGGAACUGAAACAUCUAAGUACCUGAAGGAAGAGAAAGAAAUUCGAUUCCGUAAGUAGCGGCGAGCGAACGCGGAUUAGCCCAAACCAAUAAAGUUUUCUUUGUUGGGGUUGCGGACAUAUCAUAACGAAGAGGUAUCGUAAUUGAAGAGGUUUGGAAAGACCCACCACAGAAGGUAAUAGUCCUGUAUGUUAAACGAGAAGACUUUAGAUAUGAUCCAGAGUACCACGGGACACGUGAAACCC